CCUUUAAUCCAGGGCUAGCAAGGCAAAAACCAGGGUUCCACUCUGGGGAGGUGUGAGUUAAAUCUGGGGGCUCCUUCUUUUCCACCACUCCACCCACCAUUAGCAUCACAAUGACGUCUCUCCAGCAGGGGGGAGCGAGGUCUUCCGGUUACCUUGGCAACUGGUGGAGGCCAACCUUGACUGUUCUUUUUCCCACGGAGGAUGAACCAAUAGGGUGGAUGCAGAGAUUGGAUAGGCAAAUGAAGAAGCGGGGAGGACGGGUAUGUGUGGAGGCAUGGUGCCACCCUCCAGGGUCUGAGACUGGUUGGUAUUUCUUCUUUCCUUUCCCUUCAGUGCAGGCAUUGGCAUUGGUUUCUAUGGUAACAGCGAGACCAGUGAUGGGGUGUCCCAGCUCAGCUCAGCACUGCAGCAUGCCAACCACACGCUCAGCACCAUUGAUGACUUGGUGAGGGAUCCAGCCACUGACCAGACUGCAGACUCACACCCCAGUUGAUCUUCACAUGGGGAUGUGGUCCCCCACUGGAGACCAAAAGCAACCAAAUCGAAGCAGAUUUCAGACCAAAAAUUGAAUCCCCAGAUGCAGAACUGCAAACCUUAGACCUGCAGACCUUAGACCAUAUGUUCAACCCCAA
rnacentral:lncRNA from 1 species